CACUGUGGCCCCAUCCAAUGAAACCCCCGGACAGGGCCAAACAGGUAGGAUAUAACCCCACCCACUUUGCCAAAGAACAGCCCCCACACCACUGGAGGGAUAUCUCCAACCACCAACUUACCAUCCCGAGACAAGGCCAAGUAUAGCCCACAAAGAUCUCCGCCACGGCACAACCCAAGGGGGGGCGCCAACCCAGACAGGAAGACCACGUCAGUGACUCAACACACUCAACCCACUCAAGUGACGCACCCCUCCCAGGGACGGCAUGGAAGAACACCAGUAAGCCAGUGACUCAGCCCCUGUAAUAGGGGUAGAGGCAGAGAAUCCCAGUGGAGAGAGGGGAAACCGGCCAGGCAGAGACCGCCUCAAAAGCUGUGUUUGCAAGCUCUCUGAGUUGUUAGAUAGGCAAGCCAACGUGGGCUGUAGGGCCCAAGUAGGUAAUGAAGAUGCAGCGGCAACUCGGUACUGGAUUGAAAUAGAGAGGCAUCAGUCAUCGGACACCAAAAACAGAGCAAUGGACACGGACAUGAAAAAGCGAAAGCCGUGUUGCCAGAGACAUUUUAACUAAUGUAGCUUUGGCCAGUCACCUAAAAGAGAUGUCUGCUGAAGAGAGGCAGUGAAUUGAGGGGGCAACUGAAGACAUGAUGUCUGAUGUGGAGACAGACCCCGAAGACCCAGAAGGUUAAAUCCCACUGGGUUUCACUUUACAUUUCACUUUACUUUAAGUUGCUUGCUCCUGGGUGGGUACAUGAUCAUUAGAAGUAUACCC
rnacentral:lncRNA from 1 species